ACGUAGGGAGCGAGCGUUAUCCGGAUUUAUUGGGUGUAAAGGGUGCGUAGGCGGUUUAUUAGGUCUAUGGUUUAAUUCCGAAGCUUAACUUCGGUUCGCCAUAGAAACCGAUUUACUUGAGUAUGGUAGAGGCAAGUGGAAUUUCUAGUGUAGCGGUAAAAUGCGUAGAUAUUAGAAGGAACACCAGUGGCGAAGGCGACUUGCUGGGCCAUCACUGACGCUGAGGCACGAAAGCGUGGGGAGCAAAUAG
rnacentral:rRNA from 1 species